UUAAAAAAAAAAAAAAAUCAAUUGAAAGGGAGAAACACAUCCUCGAUGCUUUUGCUUGGAUCGGAUUGGGACUUACUCCUGGGCUUGUUUGGUUGUUGGUGACAAAAGGGGAAAAGGGGUUUUUCUUUUUUUCCUGGUUAACUUUGCUUUUGAGGUUGUGAAAUGGUUUUGCGUCUUUGGAGAUUGGAGCUUUAUAGUUUACUAGUUAGACUCUGUUUUAUAUGGCUUAGAUUUUGUUUCCUAAUUCACCUUUCUGGUACAAUUGGUUGAAAUUCGUUCUUUUUUUGACUUACCACUUGUUAUGAUGUUUAUUACAUUGGACCAUAUUUUAGUCCAACUGUGUUAUAGUAUAAUCUACCUGGUUAUGAUUUCUAUUUCCAAAAUAUUUUCCCCGUUUCUGUUAGGAUUGUUUAGUCUUUCCAUAGCUAUUAGGCAUUAAACAAUUGGAGUAUUUUUAUUUCUUGGUUUUUUCCCCUAAUUUUGUGUGAAUGAUAAUAUUGUGAUGGAUUCACAAUGAGCAACAACAGAAGUCAAAAGGAUUAUUAUCAUAAUCCCACAUCUUAACCAAUAGUUAUUUUUAAGAUAUUCAUUAUAUAUAAUAAAUAUAAAUUAAAUCAUCAUUUAACCUGCUUAUGUGUUCAUUAGAAGAUGUCAUAUGAUUUUUUUUGGGUACAUCCAUGAAGCAGGAAAUCCCAUUUUCUCAACUGAGCUGCAACGGCAUGGAAAAGGCAAAAAGAAAAAAGGCAGGAUUGUUUCUGAAUUUUCCUGAGGAUUUACUAUGUGACAUACUGCUAAGACUACCGUUAAGUUCACUGCUACGAUUUAAAGCUGUGAACAGAUGCUGGCAUUCUUUAAUUUCAAGUCAUGGGUUCGCGAUUGGGCAUCUUAAUUAUCAAGCUAAUAAUGCAGAACCUAGCCCUCGCAAAUAUGGAGUUAUCCAAGUAUCAAACAUACCUCAACAACAACUGCCACGGCUUUCUCUCUACAUGCACAGAAAAGCUGAAGAAGAAGAUUCUGAUGUAUUAAUUGUGCAGACUGUGGGGUUUCCUAAUCCUCUUUUGCUGCUAGAAGAUUUUAAAAACAUCAAUGAUUCACAGGUCUUUGGUUCAUGUAAUGGUUUGCUACUUCUAGGCCAUGGUAAAAACCCAAAGCGCUUCAUCUUGUGGAAUCCGUCAACUGGGCAGGAUAAGGAGCUACCAUUGAACCACUUUUGCGAGUGCCCUACGACAUUCAUGGCUGGCCUUGGUUAUGAUUCUUUCUCUGAUAAUUACAAAGUGCUUGCAGCAGUUAAUGAUGGAGGUUCACAGUUAACCUAUAUUGCUGUAUAUAAUCUUAAGACCAAUUCCUGGGCUAUGUUGGAAAAGACUGUAUUCCCUUAUGAGUUCUCUUCUGAUUCUAGCCAACCAGGGAUAACCCUCGCAAAUGGAGCUCCUCAUUGGGUGCUGAAGCGUAGGGGUACUGGUCAUGUAGCAAAUGUGAUAAUUUAUUUUGACUUAGUUCAGGAGAACUUCAAGGAGUUGCCCCUGCCUGGUCGGCUGGUAGGUGCUAAAAAUGUUUUUCUGGGAGCUUGCAAAGGUUCUCUCUGUGUUGGCUCUUUAUGGCCCGUUAACAGUCAGAUAUGGAUAAUGAACCAAUAUGGUGUGAAGGAGUCUUGGACCAUGUUGAUGCUUAUCCCAGGAGCUUCUUCCACUUAUAGCAUCCUAAAUUUUCAACAUUUGAUGUCAAUGCAAUUUCCAAAGAAGAGUAUAGUUCUGAUGAUAUUAGAUGGGAAUAGUGCAGCCCUAUUCAAGAAUAAAGUAAAGGAGUCUAACUCAUUUUCCUUCUCAGGUUGUCAAGAAGGGUUGAUAAUAACUGCAUACAUGGAGAGUCUUAUAUCACCCAAUAAUUACGGUUGAUAUACAAGCUCUUACACUAGGGAUUGAAAGAUGAAAGAUUGGUGAGAUUGCAGCUUACCCUUCUUAAUUCUCUAGUAUCUUAAAUUUUCUCUACAUCUUAACUGGCCAUGAAUCAGUGACUUGUAAGGAUAAUGUGAUGCAUGUAUAUCUUAUCAUUGAGUAAGUUAUUCUAUUUGUCAAGCUUAGAAUACCAGUAUCCUACCUAUAGUUUUAUUUUAUUUUGUUUUAUUUAUUAUUGGGUUUGUAAUGUAAUAUGGUUCUGUUCUUGUUAAUAAUGCCUUUUGGCAGCCUCAUGGUCUGAUGGGUUUGGAUAACAGUACCUGCACAGUCUGGAUCAGCUUUGUUGUUUAAGUUAUCAAGAUUAUUGUCCGACAAUAUGAGCUUGAUAAUCAUCUGCUACUGUUUUCAUUGCUUAUUAGGAAUAAAGAUCAAAUCGGCUCU
rnacentral:misc_RNA from 1 species